rnacentral:rRNA from 1 species
GACGAACGCUGGCGGCGUGCUUAACACAUGCAAGUCGAACGAAGAGCGAUGGAAGCUUGCUUCUAUCAAUCUUAGUGGCGAACGGGUGAGUAACGCGUAAUCAACCUGCCCUUCAGAGGGGGACAACAGUUGGAAACGACUGCUAAUACCGCAUACGAUCUAACCUCGGCAUCGAGGAAAGAUGAAAGGUGGCCUCUAUGUAUAAGCUAUCACUGAAGGAGGGGAUUGCGUCUGAUUAGCUAGUUGGAGGGGUAACGGCCCACCAAGGCGAUGAUCAGUAGCCGGUCUGAGAGGAUGAACGGCCACAUUGGGACUGAGACACGGCCCAGACUCCUACGGGAGGCAGCAGUGGGGAAUCUUCCGCAAUGGACGAAAGUCUGACGGAGCAACGCCGCGUGAGUGAUGACGGCCUUCGGGUUGUAAAGCUCUGUUAAUCGGGACGAAAGGCCUUCUUGCGAAUAGUGAGAAGGAUUGACGGUACCGGAAUAGAAAGCCACGGCUAACCACGUG